AGGGGCAAUGGUUGGUGGCUGACAGAAACACGAAGAGGCUGACUCCCUGGAAACAGCACUUUAGAUGGUGUCUAGUCCCAACCUCAUCAUGAUUCCAAGUGGUCACAGGAAAUGAAGAAUUAGAGCAUAUGGGCCAAAAUGGAAAUUGAUCCCUUGGAGAGACUCAUCGCUCCCAGGGCACAGCUCUCUGAUCGCCACCCCCCACCCCAUCUCCGAACCCCCAGCCGCUGCCUUUGGCAAUAAAACGCCCUCCGUCAUCUCCA